rnacentral:misc_RNA from 1 species
ACAUAAUUUUUUUUUAUAUGUAUCGCGAAAUUGAACUGCGCGCGCAACUUUUUAAAUAGUGUAAUUGAAUUUAUUGAACUCUGUUUGCGAGGUAUCGAGUUAGGUUUUCGACUACGGGUUUAUUCGAUUAAUCGAAAUUAUGAGUUGAAAUUGUUUCGAGAAUCAGGAGCAGCCUGCAAGCAGGAGCAGCAGCGGCAGCGUUCCGCAGCCACGGCCCCGUCAGUCGGACAUUAAAUGGCGGUCUUGGUCCUUAUCUUCCCUGGAGUAGUAUUAUAUUAUGAAUAUUUACAUAUAUUGUCAUUGAACUGACAGUGUUGGUGUCCCUUUAACAGUGUACAGUGCGCCAUUGGGGCGUAUUUUAAAAAAAACUAUAAUAUUAAAAAUCGAAUCUCAUAGGAAACCGUGAAACCCCGAUUUAUCAUAAUCUUAAAUGUGUGUUGAACGUGUUUUAGUAGUGCCCCGUGUUUUGUGAUGUGUUGAACGGAAGGAAAGAAAAAACGAGAGGGAGAAAGACAGAGAGAGAGAGAGAAAUGUGAGGGAGAGAAUAAAGAAGAAGAGGAAAACUAAAGAUAAACGAAGAAAAUAUUCAAACUUAUUGUGCAUAGGAUUCAACUUUAAUAGAAAAAUGUUGCUGCGGCGUUUCAACAAACAGCAAUACCAGCGGCGGCGAUGACGACGACGUCGUCGUUUUAGCGGACAUAGUCUACACGGCACCAUAGCCGCAGCCAUGAACCCUAGCUAUUUUAACGUCCUACUAAACAGUGUAGAAAAAUUACCCAUUAAGGAUAAAAAAAGGAUAAACGAACACGAUAACAAGGGACAUGGAGCUUUGAGCGUCAUGCUGGCGACUGAAUGUGGGCAUAGCUGCUGGUAGCGCCUCUCUGCCACUGGCUAAAUACCAACGGGGUAAAAUAGACUCCAAUUCACAUUCCUCAAUACCGCUUCCUCCUUGGCUCUUGGGUCGCAAUUUGCUGCCCACAAAUUUCUUGCAUCAUGAGGCUCCUUGGACCUGUUGGAUCCCUUCCUGUAUCGCCUCCUGUACCUCCUCCGCCACGAUUGCAGCUGUUGUCAUCUUGCCUCGGCUCGGUAUUUUCCUUACCAUUUGCCACUUGGCUCCUAGUUACGAUUGCUGCAGCUGCAAUGGACACACCAUCCAGCCCAAGUCCAAACGUUCCAGACAAAAAUUUCCCACACAUCGUCGCACAAUUUCCUCCAACGGACAGCAUGCGAUAUAACUUUUAUCCCCUUGAUCCAAAUACCACCAGGGAAGGUCCCCUUAGGUUUAAUCAUCUCAUCACCGAUCCUGUUAAUAACAGACUCUACGCCGGAGCUGUUAACAGGCUCAUGCAGUUCGACUCUGACCUCAGACUAGAGGUGCUUGUUUCUACAGGGCCGAGACUGGAUAAUCCUCAUUGCCACGCUACUGGCUGUACGUCAAGGGAAGUAGUGACUAGGCUAAUGGAUAAUACAAACAAACUAUUGGUCGCCGAUCUCGACUCUCGUAACCUCAUCGCAUGCGGUUCUCUUUUUCAAGGAACAUGUGAGAAAUAUAAAAUGUCUAACAUAUCCCUGAAACCUGAGUUUAUUUUACGUAGCGUAGCUGCAAACGAUGACAAUUCGUCUACUUACGCCUUUGUUGGACCAGAAAAAUACGGCCCUCGGAGUAAAACUAAUAUAUUAUACGUUGGUACAACAUUUACAAAUAAUGGAGAUUACAGUCAAGAUGUACCUGCCAUUUCAAGCAGGAGUCUCGUAGACCUGUCAUUGAGGAAAUUUGAAUAUCAAGAGCACUCAACAAUUCAAAUAGACGUCAAGUACAGGGAUCAUUUUCUCGUUAAAUACGUUUAUGGAUUCAACGCAAGUAUCUUUGCAUACUUUGUCGUGGUACAAAAACAAUCUCAUCUGCCCGAACUCGAGGAACUCGGUUAUGUUUCGAGAUUAGCCCGGAGCUGCAUAAGCGAUCCGAACUACGAUAGCUAUGCGGAAGUUACGUUGCAGUGCAGCGUCGACACCGGAGAUGGAAGUCAGCACAUUUACAAUUUGGUACAGGAUGCCAAAGUUGCUGCGGCUGGAAGUGAUCUCGCCAUACAGCUCGGCAUAUCCAAAGGAGAUUCCGUGCUCGUAUCAGUUUUUUCACCAAGCAAAGGAAUCACCAGCGAGCCAUUACCUCGAUCUGCCGUUUGCGUCUACAGUCUUCGCGACAUCGAAGAUAAGUUCAUUGAAAAUAUACACAUGUGCUUCAACGGGACCGUAAAGUACAGAAAUAUGGAAUACGUUAGCGGACCUAUACAGAACGGAAUGUGCCCGACAGCAGGGACCACCGGAAAUAUUUUAAGCUUCUGUGAAGUUGCCCUGAAGAUAUCUGGGGUUUCUCCGAUAGUUGCCCAGGCAUCGCUGCACUUUCCAAAUGUUUCCGUCUCCGCUAUAACCAUCGCUAACACGGAAAGUCAUACGGUAGCGUUUUUAGGAACAACAGACGGAGUUUUGAUGAAAGUGCUUCUCUCGGGUGUAGAGCCCGCUGUCUACGAAAGCAUCGUAGUAGACAAGGGGCAGAAGUUACUUCCCGACACAACAAUUGCUCCUGGAGGCGAACACCUCUACGUUUUAUCCACCUCAAAGAUAACCAAAGUCAAAGUAGAACAUUGCAGCGGAUACGCAAACUGCAGUAGUUGCUUAGAUGCCAGGGAUCCCUACUGCGGGUGGUGCUCGUUGGAAAAAAGGUGCACGGUGAGGGGUGAUUGUCAAAAGGCGAGUCACAGCAGUCCGCGUUGGUUAUCGUUAGGAACGGGGCAACAGUGCAUAGAUUUUGAGCAAGUCUUGCCGGACAGAAUACCCAUAAACCAAAUGACCACCGUUCAGUUGACGAUAAGGACUCUGCCCGAGCUCCCUAUAGGAGCAAACUACAAAUGUGUCUUCGGAAACGCAGAACCAAUCGACGCUCUCAUGACCGGUUUCGGACUCUCCUGUCCAACACCCCCGGUUCUCGGCAGACCUAGUAUCCCCGAUGAGACUGACCACGUCCUCGUCCCACUUUCGGUCAGAUCUAGCGAAACUAACAAGGAUUUUGUUUCCCGCAACUUCGCUUACUACGACUGCUCCAAACAUACGAUGUGUUCGGAAUGCGUCAGAUCGCAGUGGGCUUGUAGCUGGUGCGUUUACGAAAAUAAAUGCACGCACAACACGACCUGCUGUCAGGGGAAUGUUAUUUCCGGCGAAAAUGUAAGUAAGGCCGUCCCCAACCGUGAACUGCGACAAAAUGAUCAAUGUCGAUUGCACUCGUUCCAGAAUCCUUCCCAUCUCAACGCCCACGGCGUGCAGUACUGUCCUCGAUUCGCGAGGCGCGAAGAGCCGCUGAUGUUGCCGAACAAUGUGCCGAAGGAGAUAGUUCUGGAGGUUGAAAAUCUGCCGCGCCCUCAGGUCGGACACACAGGAUUCCAAUGCAUCGUUACGAUCGAAGGCGCGAAUCUCAAGGUCCAGGCGCGCGUCGACAGUAACAGAUUUAUAGUUUGCGACAAAACGGUCUACUCGUACGAAGCAGUCAGAGGCGAUUACGAAGCUGCGGUUACGGUCGUAUGGAACACCAACCAUCACGUCGACCAGACGACCGUCCUGCUUUACAAGUGCGAGGUCUUGGGCUCCCACAGAGAGCACGCGGACUGCUCUCUCUGCGUGACGAGGGAUUUACGUUUCGAAUGCACCUGGUGCGUAAACAGCUGCGUUUACAGACAUUCCUGUCUGCACUCUCUGUUCUCGGUGUGUCCAAAACCACGGAUCGACAUGAUCAAGCCUUUGAGCGGACCCAUCGAGGGCGGGACUCUCGUCACGAUCGAAGGCAGCAAUUUGGGGCUCAAAGAAAGCGACGUGGAAGGAAAAAUACACAUCGGGGAAACUCCGUGCACUUUGGUAGACUACGAGGUUUCCGUUCGUAUCGUAUGUCGCACCGGGCCAAGCCCCCAAGAAACCACCGCGUCGGUGGUUGUGGGAAAUAACGCCGGAUACACGGAAAGUGCUGUGCUAUUCAACUACAAAGACAUACAGCUGACGGGAGUUUACCCCACGAUGGGACCGCAGAGCGGAGGAACCCAAUUGGCAGUUUCCGGGAUGUAUCUUAACAUCGGCAGUACCAUAUCCGCGUAUUUGGACGAGCUACCUUGCGAAGUAAAUGCGACUCAGGCGAGCAGUACGCGACUUACGUGUGUCACUAGUAAAUCUGGAAGUGUCAGACGUAUAAAGAAACUCACCUUGAGCAUAGACGGAGCCAAUAGAACGCUGAUUAACAACCCUUACAAUUAUACGCACGAUCCCACGAUAAUGGAGAUAAAACCGCUCAGGAGCUUCGCGUCUGGCGGAAGAAUGAUUACUGUGCAUGGAACGAACUUGGACACCAUACAAAAACCGGAAAUGGAAGUGUAUUUGGAAAAUGAACCUCUACCGGUGAACAAAACAGUCUGUACAGUUUUGAAUCCCACGCAGAUGGAGUGCCCUAGCCCUUGCAUAGCUGAAAAAUUCAAGAUCCUACAGCGAACCAAGAGAUCUCUGCAUAAACAUGGCUCGCAGGUUUUGAAAGAGUCUCAACUACCCCUGAGGAUAGGAUUCGUCAUGGACCAUGUGGAUUUAGAAAAACACUUUCAGAGUCUCAGAAUCCAGCUACUUUACGUCGAGGACCCAAAGUUCUUUCCAUUCCCGAACAAUGUUAAACUCUACAAGGGCGACACGCUCGUAAUAGAAGGGGAAAAUCUGAACCAUGCGAGUGACGAGUCGGAUGUGAAUGUCACCGUUGGUACAGUGCCUUGUAACGUAACUUCUCUCGCUCUGACUCAGCUGGUUUGUACUCCGCCCGACCAGCAGCCCUUGGACACCGAUGAAAUUGGAAUCAAGAUGGACUACGGACUUCCCUUAGUCGUUGUUAGAGUCGGACAGAGCCUCAGGUUUCCUAUCGGAUAUCUUCGCUAUGACGUUAUAAAGUCCUACCCGUUUCCUCCUGAAGCUAUUGCUGGGAUUGCCGCAGGGACUUUUGGAUUAGUAUUUCUAUUUGUGUUAGUCCUGGUACUGUAUCGGAGGAAAAGUACGCAGGCUGAGAGGGAGUACAAGAGAAUUCAAAUACAGAUGGAUACUUUGGAAAGUAAUGUUCGUAUGGAAUGCAAACAGGCCUUUGCCGAGCUACAGACCGAUAUGACCGACCUCACGGCUGAUCUUGAGUCAUCGGGAAUUCCAACUUUAGAUCACAAAAAUUACAUCAUGAAGGUAUUCUUCCCUGGGGUUAUAGAUCAUCCGAUACUAAACGAUCCAAGACCUCGAAAUAACAUUCCUAGAACAAAUUACGACGCUGCUAUGCUGCAAUUCGAACAGCUAGUUAACAACAAAUGUUUCAUACUCACGUUCAUCGAUACUCUUGAAGCGCAGAAGUCGUUUAAUAUCAGAGAUAAAGUAAACGUUGCUUCACUUCUCAUGGUUGUUUUGAUGGGAAAAAUGGAGUAUGCAACCGACAUAUUGAUGAAUCUUCUCCUUCGACUCAUCGACAAAUCCGUCGGGACUAAAUAUCCACAACUCAUGCUCAGACGGACGGAAUCUGUGGUUGAAAAAAUGCUGACCAACUGGAUGGCGCUCUGUAUGUAUAACUACUUGAAAGAUUACGCGGGAUCGUCUCUCUUCCUUUUGUUCAAGGCUAUAAAACAUCAGAUAGAAAAGGGCCCAGUCGACGUGAUCACACACGACGCCAGGUACUCGUUAUCGGAGGAAAGGCUCCUCAGAGAGCAAAUAGAACACGGUGUCGUUACAUUGCACGUCGUGCAGGACGAUCUGGAUGAAAAAAUACAGUGCAAGGUACUCGAUUGUGAUACGAUAAAUCAAGUGAAAUCAAAGAUUUUGGAUGCCCUCUACAAAAAUACUCCGUUUUCCGCUCGUCCUUCGAUCCACGAGGUCGAUUUGGAGUGGCGUCACGGACGUGGAGGGCAUCUAACACUCCAAGAUGAAGAUCUUACGACGAAGUGCAGCGAGGAGUGGAAAAAAAUGAAUACUCUAGCUCAUUACGGAGUGAAAGAGUCCGCAGUGAUGUCUCUUAUACCGAGACAGAACGACGGAUUCUCCGUUAGCUGCAAGCCACCUUGCCAUAACUGCAAACCUUCCCAUCUUCACGGUAAUCAUUGUUCCUCCGCUCAUCUUUCAUCUACUCCUAAUCACACGAUGCUCAGUCCCAUAACCUAUUCACACUCACCAGGAGGCAUUUAUUUUAACUCUCAACACUCUCCGCCAAUUAUUACUGCCAAUGGAGAUAUUGAAAGUGGACACGUUGGAAAUCAGAGACUCUAUCACUUAGUUAGACCCGUAGAAGAAGGACAUUAUCCCCCGGGUUUGGGAACGACCGGUGGGAAACACCAUCACCCCGAAAGAACGCACAAGGCUAUACCUGAGAUAUUCCUCACAAGAUUACUGUCGACCAAAGGUACCGUCCAAAAGUUUGUCGACGAUUUUUUAAACACCAUAUUAACGGCUAACGAAGCUUUACCCAGUGCCGUUAAGUGGCUUUUCGAUCUCCUCGAUGAGGCUGCCAAGAGACAUGGGCUCACCGAUCCCGAAGUGCCUCACGCCUGGAAAUCGAACAGUCUACCCUUAAGGUUUUGGGUUAAUUUUAUUAAAAAUCCAGACUUCAUGUUCGAUAUCAAUAAGACAACCACAGUUGACUCGAGUCUCUCUGUAAUUGCGCAAACAUUUAUGGACUCUUGUUCGACGACAGAGCACAGGCUCGGCAAGGACUCUCCCUCUAAUAAAUUGCUCUUCGCUAAAGACAUACCUCACUACAGGGAGAAGGUAGGAAGAUUUUACAGUGACGUACAAAGGCUACCACUUAUCACCGAUCAAGAAAUGUCAAGUGCCAUGCAACAAUUGAGCGCUGCUCAUGCCAACGAAUUCGAUGUUAUAGCCGCGCUGAAAGAACUCUACAUUUACGUCAGCAAGUACUACGAACAAAUUCUAGAGGCCUUGGAAACUGACGCGGGUUGUCGCAAGCUACAUUUGGCGCAUAGAUUGGAAAAUGUUGCAUGUACGCUCGAAGGAGAAGAAACGAGUGCUUGCUGACAUAACUUUCCCGUUUCAGCCCUAAAAACCGAUGGACCCCCCAUGAACAUUGACUAGUGCCUCGACGAAAAUGCAUCGCAGCAAAAACACCAUGACAAGAAGUUUUGGCAGAUUUUGAUGACGAGGAGUUUGCGUUAGACGAGGGAUGUUUACCGCUGCUAUUCCCACUGCUGUUGCUACGUUUUUCUUGUUUAA